rnacentral:rRNA from 1 species
CCUACGGGUGGCAGCAGUGGGGAAUAUUGCGCAAUGGGCGCAAGCCUGACCCAGCAACGCCGCGUGAAGGAAGAAGGCUUUCGGGUUGUAAACUUCUUUUCUCAGGGACGAAACAAGUGACGGUACCUGAAGAAUAAGCCACGGCUAACUACGUGCCAGCAGCCGCGGUACUACGUAGGUGGCAAGCGUUAUCCGGAUUUACUGGGUGUAAAGGGCGUGUAGGCGGGAAAGCAAGUCUGAUGUGAAACCCAUGGGCGCAACCCGUGGCCUGCAUUUGAAACUGUGUUUCUUGAGUACUGGAGAGGCAGAUGGAAUUCCUAGUGUAGCGGUGAAAUGCGUAGAUAUUAGGAGGAACACCAGUGGCGAAGGCGGUCUGCUGGACAGCAACUGACGCUGAGGCGCGAAAGCGUGGGGAGCAAACAGGAUUAGAUACCCCUGUAGUC